UCUGUAUUACAGCACAUCAAACACCACUGUCUGCACAGAAUGCACAAACACAGGAGAUUGGCAUUUAUUUCAGCGUGGAUUUGUGGAACUUGGGGAUACAUUCUUUGGAACAGUGUUGCUGAGAUGCUGUGAUCUGGUAGGGGCUAGGAUGUCAUAAAGCUUUAUCACUGAAGGGAUAUUGAUUUAUCCUUUGGAUUUGUGCUUAAUAUACACAUGCAGAUCCAUUUUGGAGGCUGUAAGGUAGUUUGAGCAGAGAAGGCACAAAGCCACAGUCAGGUCAAGGCAGCGCUUCAAAUCAAACCAAACUGGAUAUUCUUCCUCAAAUAUGGAAGAAGCUUGGACGAGGUGAGAAAACAGCUAGCUGGAAGGAGAACCAUUAUAGAAUAGGAUGUAUACAGUUAUUAACUUGGGGAAUAAAUCCUUCAGUAAGAGAAGGAUACGAAGUGCUGCUGCUGCUCUGGCCUGGUUCUUAAUGACCCCUUCUUCAAUUGCUGGUAAUAUUCAUGGAUCAAGACCCUUUGGAAAACCACAGGUUUUUUCAUGCAGAUAACUAAUGACUUGACCCAAACCUAAUUACAAUCAAUUACUCCAUCUGCUAUGGAGUACUACUGAUUUAAGUUAAAAUGAGUAUUGGAAAGAAGAUUUCAGACAAAAGGAUGUGAGAAAAUUUCAGCUAAGAAGAAAUUUUGGAACUCUGUGGUUCAGAAAUGUCUGCUUACCAGCACUUCAUUAUUGCUGGCAACAUUUUCACAUCUUAAGCGUGUGAACCCCUUUUUAAAUGUGUAUUCCCUGAACAGUGGAUUUUGAAAGCCUGUCAGAAAAAUCAACCCUUUUAACAGCAUUUAAAUCUGUACUCAGCCUUUAAUAUUACUGAAAUCUCUGUGGGACUUAAACUUAUCCUUAAAUGCUGCCCCUAGGAGAAAUUUUCCUGAGGAACUAAUUUUCUGAAACAUGGCCUAUAAAUGUGCCGAAAAACAGCAAAGCGUCUUUGUCUUCCCAUUUCCCGACCCUCACACCAAUUAUAAAAACAUUGAUUUUUAAAAGUUCUUCCAGUCAAGCUCUUUUCCUGUCAGAGCGUGUCACACGUGUCAGUCACAUUUCAAGCUACGGAUUUGAAAACCGACCUGCAGAAGCAGCUACCUUUGUCAUAAAUUUAACUUGACAGCUUCUCUGCAGGGUUUUCAAUUAGGAUCUUUUUUUUUAAUGAAAAAAGAAAAGAAGAAUGAAAUGUCAGCCCAAAUGCACUGAGCAAAUGCUGCUGUAUGGGAGGCCUACACAUACUGUUUUCUUCUUCAGAAUCCAGGAUGAUCAGGAACAUAGAAAUGCCAAGUUUGGGACAAAAAGAACUUUAAACCCCCUCAUUUCAGGCACAUAAAAUAGCUGGUUUUGCUGUCUGAGGGGCCAGGUGGCUCUGAGGGCCUGGUGGGCUUCGCUGAGGGCUGACAGCAGGAGGCUGAGGGGUGGAUCUGUGACACUGCCCAUAAUCCCAGGUUUUUCAUUUAAGACUUGGUACUCUCGAUGGAGGGAGUUUAAAAAAGCCCAUCAUAAUUCAGUGCUGGUUGCUAAAAGCUCGGAUUCUGAGGCGGCAGGAGCUGGUGCGCCCGGAAAAAGGUGAAACUCAGGCUGGGUAAAAAGGUGCCUUUGCCUCACGGUGUCCAUUUGAUAAUUGUAUCAGCUUCUGGGAGCUGCAGGCCCUGGAAGCUCUCCUCCCACAGCUGCCUCCCAGGAAAACCAAAUUCCUAUGGAUUUGGGGAAUUCCAGAAUUCUGUGAUUCUGUGGAAACCCUGGCUGGUCUUUAAGUCAAAAGUCUGACCCUGCCUCAGGAUUGCCGCCAUGACAGGACAUGUCAGCUGUAUUAAAUGCUACCGUCCCGGCUCCAGAACUCCAGAAAGUUUCCUCAUGAACUGUGGAGAGAAAACGUGGAAUUGAGUGUAUAGCUCAAAAAGUGGUAAAACUACCCUUGAAGUAGUCAUUAAAUGUGAAUUGAUUAAAUGAUUUCUGCCUGAAUCGUCAGCAAGUAUUAAGCACAAACAGUGUGUGUACGUGAGGGGGAGGCAGGAGCCCCACGCCCAGGCCAGUUCCUGAAAUCACACCUCCUUUGUCACUGGAACAUGACUGGAAAACUGAUAAAAACACUUUGGAUAGAUACAAAGGAUUAAUGGGCAAAGAAGGUCAUGUAACAUCCCACACAGACUGUCUUCAAAUAUGUCCUACACCAACAUUCCUCAUCCACGGCCUCUGUGUCUUCUGUUGAAGCUGUAACUGUGACACCAUAACAAGGUUUGCAAGGUACUUUUUGGACAAGCAGAAAAGUAAAGACUUAAUGAAGUCAGGCAGUAAAAGGAGAGGGAAUGAAGACAGAACUGGAGGAGAAGUGAUAAACCCACGUGAAUAAACCAUCUACACAAAACAUCCCUGCACACACAAGUUAUUCCAGAAUAGCCACUGAAGUGACUCAAAGAGAAGAAUGGCAGAAGGUGAUGUAAUUCCUUGGAUAUAACCUAAAAAUACACAACUGCCAGCACCUGGUCAGAGAUCCCAAUAUUCCCUCCUGCAGUAGGCACAAGCAGAUGUCAAAGGACAAGUAAGACCCGACCAUGGUACUCCUGUGUGUGCUAUUCCACCUGCCAAUUCCUUCCAGCCCAGAGGGAUUUUCUCAGCCAGAUGUAAUUUUGUGCAUUUACUGUCAAAGGAGAGGGAAACACAGUUUUGCAAGAUGUGAUCCAUCUCUGCUGA